GGUUGUAUGUAUAUGCGAUUGGGUCAUUAGUCAGCUUGGAGUAGUCUUGUACAGCUUGAACUUAUUCUUGGAUGAAAGAUGGAAACUGUAUAGCUGUGCGAUAUUUACUCAUAUGAUAAGCUGGGCUAGCAAAAAUAGAACAAAUGUCUUGAUAAUUUGAAGGUAAUGUGUAUUGUGUAAGAAAUUGUUGACCUAGGGUUAAAAAUUGAUCUAACUUCUGGACAAGAAGAUCGACAUUAUC
rnacentral:lncRNA from 1 species